rnacentral:lncRNA from 1 species
GAGAAGAGAGCUAAGGGGACCCGGGAAUGGCACAGAAGCUACAGUAAACACGAGAGAAAAAAAAGGCAGGCCUUGGGGGGACACAGGAGCAAGAGAAUUAGGGAUUGCCAGGACACCAGUGAAAACAGAAUGGAAGGAGGUCACAGAGAAAAAAAGAAGGGUGUAGUGGAAUGUCUGGGCAAGAAACAUUCCCUUAUGGCCCCAGCAGUUGGUGCCUCCUAUUGGUGGCAGUGUCUUCUCCAGGAUCCUGUAAACCAGAGGCUAUGUCAGGAGCUAAAGACAUGAUGGCCAAGAAGAACUAUGCACAGGACAAACAAGCAGGAGACAGGGUUCUGGGAGAGAAGGUGAGCUCACUUCUGCAGAUGACUCUACUCACUGGCCACACCAUGCUCUAUAAACACCCUGCACCAUCUGUGAUGUCAGCUGCCAGCCGCCUGGAGAAUCUGCCCUGCUCUGGGAGCUUGUAUUAAAACACUCACUUAUAACUCCCUAUUAAUUUUUCACGAGGAGUUAUUUUUAACUUGCUCAAACCAUUGUCUGAAUAUGCCAAAUAUAUUUUCUUAAUGAACGAGCC